UAAAGAGGAUAACUCUUUAUAAAAAAACUUAGGAUCCGGAACCAAUAAUCUUUAAACCUAUCGUAACUCCGCUCAUAACCCUCCAAAACUCUCUUGUUCCUUUCUUUCCAAAUUUUCCAGAACGUAGCCAAAGGAAUGAGAUUUGCCCUUUUGUCCCUAUUAACCCCAUCAUGCCAAGCCCCAAUUUCAUCCUUAAUCGAGUCAGCAAUCGCCCAGUUGAUGCCAGUAGAUCACAGACCAUAGUCCACAAGCAGUAAGCAAGAGGACGUCAUAACAGGAUAUGGUUACAUGAUUCUGCAUUCCUCUUG
rnacentral:lncRNA from 1 species